rnacentral:rRNA from 1 species
UAAGCCAUGCGAGUCAUUGUAGCAAUACAAGGCAGACGGCUCAGUAACGCGUAGUCAACCUACCCUAUGGACGGGGAUAACCUCGGGAAACUGAGAAUAAUACCCGAUAGAACAUUAUACCUGGAAUGGUUUAUGUUUCAAAUAAUUUAUUGCCGUAGGAUGGGACUGCGGCCUAUCAGUUUGUUGGUGAGGUAAUGGCCCACCAAGACUAUUACAGGUACGGGCUCUGAGAGGAGUAGCCCGGAGAUGGGUACUGAGACACGGACCCAGGCCCUAUGGGGCGCAGCAGGCGAGAAAACUUUGCAAUGUGCGAAAGCACGACAAGGUUAAUCCGAGUGGUUUCUGCUAAAGGAACCUUUUGUCAGUCCUAGAAACACUGGUGAAUAAGGGGUGGGCAAGUUCUGGUGUCAGCCGCCGCGGUAAAACCAGCACCUCAAGUGGUCAGGAUGAUUAUUGGGCCUAAAGCAUCCGUAGCCUGCUUUGUUAGUUUUCGGUUAAAUCCAUACGCUCAACGUAUGGGCUGCCGGGAAUACUGCAAAGCUAGGGAGUGGGAGAGGUAGACGGUACUCGGUAGGAAGGGGUAAAAUCCUUUGAUCUAUUGAUGACCACCUGUGGCGAAGGCGGUCUACCAGAACACGUCCGACGGUGAGGGAUGAAAGCUGGGGGAGCAAACCGGAUUAGAUACCCGGGUAGUCCCAGCUGUAAACUAUGCAAACUCGGUGAUGCAUUGGCUUGAUGCCAAUGCAGUGCCGCAGGGAAGCCGUUAAGUUUGCCGCCUGGGAAGUACGUACGCAAGUAUGAAACUUAAAGGAAUUGG